rnacentral:miRNA from 1 species
AGCAAAGCAAAGCUCAGUUGGA